CUGUAGAACCAAAACUCAUUCAUUCACUUCCUGCCCUGAUGGAAGAGGCAGUCCAGGUGGUAUGUAUAAAGAACAUCCCUGCACAGUCCUCUAUAGACUCCCUUUGGCCAAACCUAACUGAAAGGCAGAUGACAAGGCUGACCAAGCGAUGCAGUCUGUAGAGGGUCGUUAUGAAGAUCAAAUGGCAAUGUGUGUGAAAGCGCUUUAAAAUUGGAAAAAGAUCAUGAUGAAGAGGUGAAAGAUGCUGAUUUUAAGAGUAUCUAAUAAAGUUUGGGGAAAGAAUAAAGUGUUGUGGGAAGUCAUGCUCUCAAAACUCCCUUUCAUAUCCUACCAUCUUUUUCAUUCUCUGCCCAUUUGUACUCAUAUUGCAAGGAAGGUAA